CAUAGCCGCCAGGGAACUACGAGUUCAAUCUUAAAACCCAAAGGAUUUGACGGUGCCCCACCCACCUAGAGGAGCCUGUUUUUUAAUCGACACCCCCCGAUAUACCUUACCAUUUCUUGCCCCCCCAGUCUGUAUACCUCCGUCGCAAGCUUACCAUGUGAACGCAUUAGUGGGCCAAAAGACUUACUGCCCAUACGUCAGGUCAAGGUGCAGCUCACGAAAUGGAAAACAAUGGGCUACAAUUUCUACAAAGAACACACGAAAAACUGCAUGCAACACAGUCAUGAAGGUGGAUUUAGUAGUAAAAAGAAAAUAGAGAGUUCUUUUUAAUUAUGGCGCUGGGACGCGU
rnacentral:rRNA from 1 species